rnacentral:rRNA from 1 species
UGCGCAGGCGGUUUACUAAGACAGGUGUGAAAUCCCCGGGCUUAACCUGGGAAUGGCGCUUGUGACUGGUAGGCUAGAGUACGUCAGAGGGGGGUGGAAUUCCACGUGUAGCAGUGAAAUGCGUAGAGAUGUGGAGGAACACCGAUGGCGAAGGCAGCCCCCUGGGAUGAUACUGACGCUCAGGCACGAAAGCGUGGGGAGCAAACA